UUACAUCUUCAUGUGUUCUCAGGUAAAUCACAGUUAAAAGAAAGCCAAUUCUGACAUAUGCUGAGCAUAGCUGAUUUAGUUAAGAAAAACUCCUAAUUUUCUAGGGAAUUGGGGCUCAAAUAAAUUAAAUAACAUUCCAAAUGCAUAGCCUCUAGAUCUGAAAUGCUCAAAUUACUCUUCCCUGAUCUAAAUCCUAAUGGCAAUUUAUGACCUUUUAUCUCAUUCUUCAUUAAGAAUUCCUAAAAUGGGAUGGUGGAUUAGUAAAACAGUGGGCUUCUCUAACUUUAUUCUGGGUCUAAGGGGACCAUGGAUAGGGGAAGAAGGCUCACAUCUAUCUAGCUAUAUAAAUGUGGCACAAAUGCACAUUUAUAUGUGUAUCGUUUAUGUGUAGCCGUGUAAUCUAUCCUAAAAAUGUUUUAAUUCAAAACUUUACCUUGAUUAUUCUUCAGAUUUUUACCUCGGUAGUAAGUCUUUACCUAUCAAUAACUAUCUUGAAUAUAAAUGGAUUAAACUUUCCAAACAAAAGACAUAGAGUGGCUGAAUGAAUUGAAAAAUGAGACCUAACUAUAUGUUCCCUAGAAGAGACUCAUUUCACCUUUAAGAAUACACAUAAACCGGCUGGGCACGGUAGCUCAUGCCUGUAAUCCCAGCACUUUGAGAGGCCAUGGCGGGCAGAUCACAAGGUCAGGAGUUCGAGACCAGACUGACCAACAUGGUGAAACCCCAUCUCCACUAAAAAUACAAAAAUUAGCCAGGCAUGGUGGUGGGCACCUGCAGUCCCAGCUACUCGGGAGGCCAAGGCAGGAGAAUUGCUUGAGCCCAGGAGGCAGAAGUUGCAAUGAGCCAAGAUCGAGCCACUGCACUCCAGCCUGGCAACAGAGUGAGACUCUGUCUCAAAAAAAAAAAAAAAAAAAAAAAAAAAAUACACAUAGACCAAAAGUAAAAGAAUAGUAAAAGAUAUUUCACACAAAUGGAAGCCAAAAGAGAGUAGAAAUGGCUAUACGUAUACCAGACAAAAUAGACUUCAAGUCUAAAACUGUCACAAAAACACAGGUCAUUACGUAAUAACAAAGGGGUCGAUUCAUCAACAGGAUGUAACAGGUAUGAAUACAUAUGUACCUAACAUCAGAGCACCUAAAUAUAUAAUGCUAAUGUUAACAGAAUUGAGGAAGAAAUAGACUGCAGCACAAUAAUAAUAGGAAACUUAAAUAUUCCACUUUCAGCAAUGGACAAAUCAUCCUGACAGAAAAUCAAUAAUAAAGCAUUAGACUUCAGACCAAAUGGCCCUAUCAGACAUAUGGAAUAUUCUAUCUAACAGCAGCAAAACACACAUUCUUCUCAAGCCCACAUGAAACAUUCUCCAGGAUACAUUAUAUAUUAGGCCACAAAAUAAGUCUUAACAAAUUUAAGAAGAUUAAAAUCAUAAAUUAUUUUUUCUGACCACAAUGGUGUGAAACUAGAAAUCAAAAACAGGAGGAAUUUCAGAAAAUUCACAAAUGUAUGAAAAUAAAACAUCAUGUUCCUGAACAACUAAGAAGCCAAAGAAGAAAUUGAAAGGUAUUUUAAAAUUUGUUUGAGACAAAUGAGAAUGGGAGCAAAAUAUAUCAAAACAUAUGAUGCAGCAAGAGCAGUUCUAAAAGAGAAGUUUGUAGUAAUUAAUGUGUAUAUCCAAAAAGAAUAAUGAUCUAACAAAUAAAUGAACUAAUGUUACACCUCAAGGAGCUAGAAAUAGAAGAGCAAAUUAAGCCCAUAGUAGAAGGAAGGAAAUAAUAACAUAGUAGAAAAUGAAACUGAAACUAAAAAAAAAAAAAAAAUAGAAAAGAUAACCUAGAGUAAGAAAACAGACAGUAAUGUCAAAAAAUAAAAUUGUAAAUGAAAGAGAAGACCACAGUUCAAACCAUGAAAAUGCAAAAGAUCCUAAGACUAAUAUUAACAGUUAAACACCAACAACUUAGACAACUUAGAAUAGAUAAAUUUCUAGAAAUAUUCAACCUACCAAGACCGAAUCAUAAAGAAAUAGAAUAUCUGAAGAGACCAUUAAUGAGUAAGGAAAUGUAAUCAGUAAUAAAUCUUACCUAUCAAAGAAAAGCCCAGGACCUUAUGGCUUCACUGCUGAAUUCUCUCUAACAUUUAAAGAAGAAAUAAUACCAAUCCUUCCCAGACUCUUAGAAAAAGAUAUAUAAGAUGGAACACUUCCAAACUCAUUUUAUGAGGCCAGUAUUACUCUGAUACCAAAGCCAGACAAGGACACUACAAGAAAAGAAAAUUACAGGCCAAUAUCCCUGAAGAACAUAGACUUAAAAAUCUUUUACAAAAUACUAGCAAACUGAAUUCAACAACCGGUAAAAGAAUCAUUCACCAUGAUCAAGUGACAUUUAUCUUGGGCAUGUAAGGAUGGCUCAACUUUUGCAAACCUAUAAAUCUGAUAUGACACAUUAACCAAAUGAAUGAUAAAACUAUUUUAUUGUCUCAACAGAUGGAAAAGAAAGCAUUUGACAACACUGAAUACACUAUCGUGAUAAAAAUUUUAAUAAAUUGGGUGUAGAAGGAAUGUACCUCAAUGCAGUAAAGGUCAUAUAUGACAGUCCCACAGCUAACAUCAUACUUGAUGAGGUAAAGUUGAAAGUUUUUCCUCUAAGAUCAGAAACAAGAUAGAAAAAGAUUUUCACUUUUGCCACUUCUGUUUAACAUACUACUGAAAGUCCUAGCCAGAGAAAUUAGGCAAGAAAAAGAACUAAAGGCAUCCAAAUUGGAAAGAGAACAGCCAAGGAGACAAUCAACAGAGUGAUGAGACAACCUAUAAAAUGGGAGAAAAUAUUUGUAAACCAUACAUCUGAUAAGGGGUUUAUUCUUUAUGUAAGGAACACAAGCAACUCAGUAGCAAGUGAACAUAUAAUCUGCAAAAAAAAAAAAAAAAAAAAUGGGCAAAGGACCUGAAUAGACACUUCUCAAAUGAAGGCAUACAAAAUAUCAACAGGUUUCUGACAGCAUGCUCAACAUCACCAAUCAUUAAAGAAAUGCAAAUUAAAACCACAAUGAGCUAUCACCUCACAUCUGUUGAAAUGGCUACUGUCAAAAAGACUAAAGGUCAAAAGUGUUGGUAAGGAUGUACAGAAAAGGAUAUCCUUGCACACUGUCAGUAGAAAUGUAAAUUAGUACAGCUAUUAUGAAAAUCAGUAUGAAGAUUUCUCAAAAAUUAAAAUGGAACUACCAUAUGAUUCACAACCCCACUACUCGGUAUAAACUAUGAGGAAAUAAAAUUAGUACAUCAAAGAGAUAUCUACAUGCCCAUGUUGAAGUAUUAUUCACAAUAGCCAACCUAAGCCAACUUAGGUUGAUAUAGAGUCAACCUAAGUGUUCAUCAACAGAUGAAUGUGUAAGAAAUAUGUGAUAUAUUAAAGAUAUAAUAUAUAAUAAUAAUAAUAAUGAUAAUAAAGCUAUCUUUCCAGGUUCCAGCAGCCUCAUAACUUAGCUGAGUCAGGUACUAGGUCUUAUGCAGUCUAUGCAGGUACUGGGUCUUAUACUUGGAGCACAAUUUUAGGAAGUCAUAAUGUAAAAAAGAUCAGAAAAAAAUUAAAGCUACUUUUUCAGAAAGAACUAAAUGUUAAUUGUCAAGGGUUUUCUUUUUCUUCCUUUUUGAAAGUGAGG
rnacentral:lncRNA from 1 species